AUGCAGGCAUUGUCUUGCCAUUUUUGUGAAAUUUUUUUAUAUGUUUUUGGACUGUUGUUGCAGGUUUGGGACUGUAUAUGGCAGUUUAACAAUGGACAGUGGGAGGUUUUAUGGACUUCUUUGCCACUUUUUAUUACAGAUUUUGUGUUUUGCCUAAUUUAUGCAACUCUUGGCAUUUUUUCGACAACAUCUGUGGACUGUUUUGACAGGUUUUCCUCUGGUUUUUACAGGCUGUUUUGUAGUGGAUAG